ACUGGGAGGAGAACAAGGAGAUCACAGGCUCCAAGCAAGACCAAGCUUUCUCUUGGGAAAUGAGCUUUUCUCCCAGAUGGAGCUCCAUCUGCCCUUGCAGGAUCAGCUCCCCCAAGUGUGCCCUGCUCCACCCUGGGGUUGACCAGCCAGCUCAGCCUGCCUGCCAAUAUGAUGCCUGGAAUUGUCUGUGGUUCUGGGGACCAAGCCUUGUCAGGAUCAUCACGUAAGGGUGUCUCCAUCUUCCUCGCAGCACUGCUUUCUGUCCAGCCUCCCUGCCUACCCACUUCAUCACACAGGGAAUGGCAAACACUGAGCAGCUGGGGGAAAGGCCUGCAGGGCCCUUCUGAGCUUUGUUGCCAGCUCUGGGGUCAGCAGGAAAGAAUGCAGUGACUGACCAGUGAUCACUGCCUCAAGGACCACGAGAAGAGGGGAAAGCCCUGGUAUGAAUGAGUUUGUACCCUUCACCUCGCUGCGUCUUGGUUUCCUCUUUUACAUUUUUCUAAGGAUUCUUCAGUAUGGGUAUGAGGAAAUACAAUUGUCUAAUUUCAUUA
rnacentral:lncRNA from 1 species